rnacentral:lncRNA from 1 species
UCAUUCAGAUAGAUACCAUCUUUAUGAUCCACUUGAACCAGUAAAAGAGGCAAAGAAAUUUGGGCCUGAAAUUAUGCUUUUUAAAACCAUCCUUAAUCAAGCCCAUCUUCACAUCCAUAAUCACCUUAAACCGGUCCACUGACUCGCCGAAAAAGCACCUCAUAUUAUCUUGGUAGAACAACAAUCAUAGGGUGGCCUCUCCUUUUCUUGCAACAAGUUAUCACUC